rnacentral:tRNA from 2 species
GGGGACGUAGCCUAAUUGGCAUCGGCGGGGCGCUUAAAACGCCCGACAUUUGUGGGUUCGAGUCCCACCGUCCCCACUA